rnacentral:rRNA from 1 species
AACCUGCCCAAGAGAUCGGGAUAACACCUGGAAACAGAUGCUAAUACCGGAUAACGACAGAUGAUGCCUAUCAACUGUUUAAAAGAUGGUUCUGCUAUCACUCUUGGAUGGACCUGCGGUGCAUUAGCUAGUUGGUAGGGUAACGGCCUACCAAGGCGAUGAUGCAUAGCCGAGUUGAGAGACUGAUCGGCCACAUUGGGACUGAGACACGGCCCAAACUCCUACGGGAGGCAGCAGUU